rnacentral:rRNA from 1 species
GACGAACGCUGGCGGCGUGCUUAACACAUGCAAGUCGAACGGAAAGGCCCAGCUUGCUGUGUUCUCGAGUUGCGAACGGGUGAGUAACACGUGGGUGAUCUGCCCCUCACUUCGGGAUAGGCUUGUUAAACUGGGUCUAAUACCGGAUAGGACAAUCGUUUAGUGUCGUGUUUGGAAAGUUUUUUCGGUUAUGGAUGAGCCCGCGGGCUAUCAGCUUGUUGGGGGGGUAAUGGCCUACCAAGGCGGCGACGGGUAGCCGGCCUGAGAGGGUGGACGGCCACAUUGGGCCUGAGAUACGGCCCAGAAUCGUACGGGAGGCAGCAGUGGGGAAUAUUGCACAAUGGGCGCAAGCCUGAUGCAGAGACGCCGCGUGGGGGAUGACGGCCUUCGGGUUGUAAACAUCUUUCGACAGGGACGAAGAUUUGGUGACGGUACCUGUAUAAGAAGCACCGGCUAACUACGUG